rnacentral:tRNA from 1 species
CGGGCAGUAGCUCAGUGGUAGAGCUCCUGUUUCGCAUGCGGGAAGAUCUGGGUUCGAUUCCCGGUUGCUUAC